rnacentral:lncRNA from 1 species
CUUAGACCACUACCAUGUAGUUAGGUAGGGGCAUCCGUAAUGACGGGAAUCUAGGAAUGAAUGGGGAUCCCUAUCAAUAAGAAUAUGAAGAAUAUCUAAUUAGUUACACUACCUUUCUCUCACUCAAUAGAUCUAUCUGGUCUGAUACGGUACAGUACAAUACGAGACGAUGGAAUGCUAUGGGAUGGAUGGUAGAGGGAUGCCUGCGCCCAAAAGCGAUGAUUCACUUGUCCCCUUGUCCAUAGGGACCUCGUGGCAUACAACCGAAAC